CAUGAGCCUCUACCCCCAGCGUAAGCGGAUUGCCGAGCUGCUCUUUCUCCUGGCAUGCGUCUGCUAGAUCUUUCAUGAGAGCGGCUUCACGCUGCUCAGUUGUGAUAUUAGCCUAUACCCCUUCGCACUUCACUCAUAAAUAUCAUACCCAGUAAAAAUUUGCUCCGAUAAACAAAGAUCGUCAGCCAAGCGAAUCUCUUGGUGAAUACACAGACAAGCCUCCCUCAUCAGGCAAGGGAGUGUUAACUAGAAACUCAAAAAGAAAUGGUGUACUCGCCCUUUCAAGUAAAAGCAGAACCCGAAAAUCCGAACCGAUCCACUCCAUAAAAGGUAAAUCCGAACAGAAGCCAAAAUAAUAUUCGAUUGUUUUACAGUAUUUUGGGUUUUGUGUUUUCUCCGAACUGAACCCGAAUCCAAACGAAUAUCCAAAUAAACUAUUUUUGAUAAUUAGUCAAAUAUUGAGAAUUUUAUGUUUUGACAAUUGCAUUUAAAGUUUGAUUAUAAUUAUUUUUUCUUCAAAAGUCCCAAAACUAUUUUUUAAGUUUAAUUGAUGUUUCAUGUGUUAAUAGAGUUGUUAGUUGUUAAUUUUAACUUUUAUAUGUUUUUUCGUUCCUAACAACCACAUUAUGCCAUCAAGCCUUUGUUAAUGUAACUAGAGAUUUUACCCGGGAUACGUCUGGGUUUAUUCAAAUAAUGUUGUAUUUAAUAUCUAUAUUACAAUAUAUUAUGUAUAUGUUAUAAAAUAUAAAUAGUAAACUGAAUUCGAAUCAGUAAAACUUACAAUUUUUCCACUAUCUAAAAUAUGUAUAGGAUGGUAAACAAAUGUGAAAUGAAUAAUUUUUUUUGCUAAACCUUAGUAAUUCUCCAAAAUAUAUUUUAUUACAUAUUUAGGUUAUUAAGAAAAUAUAUUUUUAAUCUCCACAUCACAUAUUUCUUUGUUAUAUGUAUUAUUUAUAUCAUAUUUAUAUUUUUAUUUAUAUGCAAUUUAAUCUUUUAUAAUAUAUUUUCUGACGAUUAUAAUCAAUUUUUUACAAUUAUAUAAUAAGUAAGGCUAAUUUAAAUACUCAUUGCUUUAAAUUAAAAAAACUUUAAAAAUGUUGUAUGCCUUAAAUACACUGAAAAUUCUAUAAAAUAUUAUUAUUACUAUAUUUUUUGUCAGGAAUUAUUAUUACUAUAUUAUUGUAUUAGUUAUAAACAAAAAUAUCUUAAAAUCUAGCUAUAGUUAAAAUAUUAUUCUGGAUUAAAAUUCAGUGUAAAAUGAUAAUCAAACUAUUCUAAAUAUAUCACUAUUUAUUUAAAUUUUAUUAUUAUAUAUUAGUUUGUUUUAAAAUUACUAUUUUUUAAACUACAAUCAGGUUAAUGCUGUUAUUAAAAAUGAAUUUUAUAUACUAAUUAGGGGAAUUUUGAAUAUAUUUUCAGUCCAAAACUAUGAUCCAAAAACAUUAUUAUCUUAUUAUUUUUUUCACGUCCAGUAAAAACAUUCAACAAUCUUGUACUAAUAUCACAAAUUAAAAAUAAAAAUGAUUUCUAAUUCGAUAUAGUCUUAUUAUUUUAAUUUCCAUUUAAAAAAUUAGUGAUUUAGACGAUUAGUUUUUUUCUUACUUCGAGUCUUUAAUAUUUGUUUUCGUGAACACCAUAUACUAUGUUGAUUUUUAAUCUUUCUUUAUUCUUUUGUGAACAGAAGUUUUAAAACGUUUGUUGGUCGUUAUUGUUUAAUGUGGUAUUAGUUUGUCUUCUUUAAUGAUUUUUUCAAAUUUCCUUAAUCCUAUACAAAUCUUAAUUGCCUUUUCCAAGAAAGAUGGAGCUCUAUCAACAAUUUCCAGAGCAAGUAAAACUGGUCUUACAAAGACGGUUAAUCUUGUAGGUGUAUUUAGAGAGAAGGCCAAAGCUCAUUAACUGAUUUUUCCUUUUUAUCUUGUGUGGUUCAUCUCUUUCAUUCUACUUCUCUUUGUUAAAGUCUAAGUCUUUCUUUUGUUAGUUUCUUUGCGAUUGUUUAAAUACCUAAAUUAAAGAUUGUACAUUUAGAUCAAAGAUGUAAUUCCGGUUAAAGGCCAAGUAAUGUAAAGAGUACAUAGAACACCGCAAUAAACUAACAUGAUGGAAUUGAGACAAAACACAAGUACAUAAUUUCUCACGAUAAUAAUAUGAUCAUGUUCUGCAUAUUACAAUUCCAAACUAUAUCACAAGUAAUUUUUCGACAUGAUUUACUCACUGAGCUAGUUUGUGUCUCUUUGUCCUCUCUAGCGCACCCAAAGCCUUGGCUACCAUUUUCAACAUCUUCUUUUGCUUCUUUACCGUCUUCUUCUCUCUUUCUGGCACAUCCUCCAAAUACAGCCUCAUGGACUUCUUUAUGAGCAAUCACUACUUUGUCUUCUUCAACAAAUUCACCAUCACACUUCAGGAAAUUCAGUACCUUCCACAUUCCAUGUCACCGGCUCACAAACCCCAAUUUUCUUGCACCAUCUUUUGAUGUAACUGUGGUAGACAUUGGGGACAUGAGCUGCCUCUUCAAAACUGUAAUUUCAUCUUCUAACAAACCUGCUUUAUUCAGCUAGUACUUUGCAUCCUCCACAUCUACUAUCUCGCCUUUUUUGCAUCGUGUUCUCUAGCAGAAUGAAAUGAGUCUGAAACAAAAAUAUCAAAUAUGGUCACGUCAGUCACAUAAAUUACUAACAUACAAUCUUUUGUUUCACACAGAAUGUCAUUUUAUGAUUUUAUUUUGUUUCAAAUAGAAUAUCAUUCUAUAUUUCCAAUGUGAUUUAUACAUUUAAUUUCUCUUUUCUUAUUUUAAGUAACCAAUAGAAUUUUGUUUAAAUUAUUUUCACUUAUAUUUUUUUACGAAACAGAGAUAAUAUAAUAAAGCAAAAUCUCCUUACGCCCAAGUUUUAUUAGAAUACAACUAUUUAUUUUACUCUCUAUUUUUUUAAGUUAGAGGUACAUAUAUUACUAACUUAAAUAAUAUACCAAAAUAUCAUUAUCCAGAAUACAUUUUAAAUAUGUAUGAUGAUUUUAUAAUAUUAGUAUAAGCAAGAAGAAAACUUAGUGCAGCGAUAUAAUGAGUAAUGACCUAGGUUUGAGAACUGAUCCAACCGUUUUCUUAGAGCAAUUUUUUGUGACUCAUUAGUUUUUUAAAGUAAAUAUAUAACUUAUUUUCUUGCUACUAAACUAUUCGGUUUUGGUGUGGACUGUUGGUUCAUGAUAUGAUUUGGUACUGAUGUAAUUAAGGUUUUAAGCUAGCAAAGUACAAAUCAUUUUUAUUUAUACAUUCUGGUAAGUUUUGUCAAGGAAAACAUGUGUUAAUAAAUCACAUAUCGUAUUGAUACCUCUUUUUAUAUUUGAGAAGCUGGAGAGCUUUUGGUUAGUGGAGUUUAACAAUUUCUAAAUCUUUCUUCUUAUAUGGUUAAUUUGUUCUGUUUCUUGACCUUUUUGUAUCUAUAUCAAGUCAGUGACUCUUAUGUUUACUAACGUAGUUGGAAUACACUUUGUCAUUGGGACAGAAACUAAUAUAAACAUAAAUCAUUUUAUAUGAUAAACACAUUCCAUGCACAAAAAAGAAAGAUAAACACAUUCCAGUGAAAAUAGAGUUAAGGCUCAGAAAGGGCGUAACCACCUAAGAAGUUGGAUCGUGUCAAAAACAUAUUUGCUUAUUGAAAUCUUUAAAGUACAUUAGUGCGUGCUUACUUUAGAGUGGUAUCAAAGUCAAGAAUGAAGGCAUUUUUGGUUCAUCACCAUGUCCCUCUUUCACACUAAUGUACACAUGCAUGCAUGUAAAAUUCAUAUCCUUGAGCCAUCUAAAUUUCAAACUGCUCUAAACAAACAUAUUUCUCCGUAAGAAUGUGAGUUUUUCUUGGUAAUAAAUUAACCUAUUGUCAUAUCAUGGUAUUGGUGUCAGGGUCAUCCAACCACUCUUUCCAAUGUGAUAAGUAUCCAGCCAAGGUAUAGCAAAUAAGACCAUUUAAAAUACUGGUGGAAAUCCCAUGGCCAUGUUUAGAUACUCCAAGUUUCCAUAUUUAUAUGAGAGGAAGUGAUGAACAUUGAAUAUGAGAUUCAAACAUUAACAUGUAUAUUAGCCAGAAGUAAACUUAGCUCACUCUCAAACUAUGCAACAACUGAGUUUAGUAUUUAAGACAGAUUUAUUCAAGAUUCAGAAAGAGAGGAAAGUGAACAAAUCUACCUACUGUGUACCAUUUUUACUAAGAAGAAAGUUGAGCAAUCUUGCCGAAACGAAAGCCCCCUCGCCAAAGGAGUAUACAUUUUGCUCUGAAGUAGAAGAGAGAAACAACAACAAUAGAGCCGUGCUAGAGUUUGCACGUUCAGCUAGCCUUCAGAAAGAUCUCUCUCAAUAGUUGGAGAGUCUUCAGUGUGGCAACGAAAACUUCAAGACAAACUGUCCAGGAAAACUUCAUGGAUGGAUGCUUCAUCUAUAAAAAAAAAUGGCCUUAAUCACAUUCACCCGAGAACAUAAAUCAACUAUAAGUAGAAGGAACAUAGAGACAUAUGGGAGGGAAGUUCCAUUCUAGUAGGAUGAGAUAGUAUUUCAUUGAAAUGAAAGAUCCUAAAGCUCAAGAUUUACUGUUUGCGGAAACUCACCAUCCCCAACUUGUGUGGCAUCCAUGGCAGAGAAAAGUAGCAUUGAAUUUGUUGUCCUUGACGUGUACGUAUUUACUCUCAGCUGUGAAAUCAGAGGGACAAAACUCUCAUUCGUCAAAUGAAUCAUAUAUAAAAGUGGUCUCUCCUCGUAGAUUCCACAGCUUUUGCAUUGUGUUGUAGGUUAGUGGCUGAUAUAUCAAAAUAAAAACAUAUAUAUCAGAGACAAAAAUCAUAAUGAUGAUAACAUUUAAAAAUAAGCCAACCUAUUCUAAUAUAGCCACCUCUUAUAAAAAAUCAAUGCAAUAAUCCCAUAUCUUCUUAUCUGAGCUACAACCAAUAAGUGAAGAAAACAACAAAGCAGACAUCGAAUAUCUGCAGGGAAAUCACACAGACGUUAACAACAGUUAGUUUUCAAUAAUCUGAGGAAAAUGUGUUAAAUCAGCAGAGACGAUCCUUACGUUGUCGAUUUGCUUGAGAUGUCAUUAACAGUGAAACUGAGGAGAUGAAUCAGACUUAGAUUCUGGAUCUUCCCAGGAAUGAUUUAAUGCGUUAGUGAAGCUGUAAACAUAGCUUUCACUUUCGUCUUUCCAUCAUUCGCACUAAACAUGUAAACCACAAGAAAACAUGUAAACGCAGAUCGAUACCAUGGAAUCAUAGACGAUUGUGAAACUACAAUCCAAUUUAUUGAUGAAAUUAGUGAACUCAGAGAUGGUGUCAGUGGAGGAUGAACACUGAUGUAUAGUCAAAAGUUCGAAACUUACGUAUAUCGAUUGCUGAUAGGCUUGAGAUCUACAACUUGGACGACAAUCUCAGAGCAUUCCGAAGACGAAUCAAAGGAUGUGUUUCCGUUUGUACUUUAAUCGAAAUUGAAACCCUAAAGGUGUGUGCGUGUGAGCGAUUGAAUAGAUUUCAGCUGAGAGGAAGAGGAAAGGGUUUUGAAUACACAGUAGAUGAGAUUCAGAGAAGUAUAGUUUAUAUAAACAAAGAACAAUGAGAGUGGGAACGCUAACAUCUCUGACUUUGUAAGGAGUAAUGAAACUUAUUAAAUGUGAAAGAGUGGGUCGACUUAAUUUCAACUUAAUGGCAAUUUGCAGAGACUACAGAAUUGAAGAAGGUGAAGAGAAGAGUCGGUGAUCCCUAUCGUAGCAGUUGGGCCAAGUGAUGGGUUUUUAUGAAAGUGGGUCACGUUGAAUCAGAGAACUGGGAAAUAACUGUCUUCGGUCUUGGAAAUUAUUGACGUGGCUACAUAACGGUUUCCUAUUGGUCGAUUUAAUUUGAUUACGUGGACACUCUCUCUGCUUUAGUUAUUUAACUUUUAGUAUUGUUAGAUUGUUGAAAUUGAUGAAAACUUAAAUAUGUAUUUUCGAGUCAUAAUAAGUAUAUGGAUAAUUAAAACCCAAAUUAUAACCAAAAUCGAAUUUAAAACGGGUUCAACCGGGUUAUAAUAUGUUAAUAUAUAUCCGAACCACACAGAAUAAACCCGAACCAAACUUUUAUAAUAUCCUAAUAAAACUAAAUUUGUGCUCCCAAAAAAUCUGAAUCCGAAUUAACUCUGAACUGAACUGGUUGGACACUCAAACGCUCGUGCCUACCAAUUGUUUUACCAAAAAUAAUACAUAGCAAAUUUUCUAUUUUAAAUGCACCACGCUUAAUGGUCCAUCCCGGUUAGAGAAUUUUGAUAAGAGAUUUGCACUGAGAAAUUCUGAGAAGAAUAAGAAUCGGUAAACUAAUUAUAUAUAAUACUAAUUUUUCAAAAAAAUGUUAUUAUACAUUUUGUGUAUAGUUGCAAUGUAGAUUAACAGAAAUAAAAAUUUAGUUAAUUAAUUUAAAAAUAAUUUUCUUAAUUUUUGUUGUCUGAGUUUUUUUUUCUUGGUCAAAAACCUUAGCUACCAUUCAUUGUCUUUCUCAUAUCAUAAUUGUAAGAUCAUAAUAAAUAUCGUUAAAAAAAAGUCAACAAUCUAGAUAGCCAUCAUUUUUUUGGAUGUAAAUGUUAAGAUUCAUACCCAUUUUUUGAAUUUUACAUGGUUUUUGGCAAACCACUUAUUACAAGAGAGAACAAGAAGAAAGACACAAUUAACUAUAAGGAGAGAUGAACCAAAAAUAUAGCUGAAGCAGAGACAGAGAAGACACAGUCGCUGAGGGGAAAGACAAGAGCCUGUCACGCAUAGCACAAUAGAUCACAUGAAAGAAGGCUGGAGGAGACAAGGACGAGCCGCGGAAAAUAGCCAUUA